rnacentral:rRNA from 1 species
AGAGUUUGAUCCUGGCUCAGGACGAACGCUGGCGGCGUGCUUAACACAUGCAAGUCGAACGAUGAAGCCCAGCUUGCUGGGUGGAUUAGUGGCGAACGGGUGAGUAACACGUGAGUAACCUGCCCUUGACUCUGGGAUAAGCGCUGGAAACGGCGUCUAAUACCGGAUACGACAACCGAUGGCAUCGUCUGGUUGUGGAAAGAAUUUUGGUCAAGGGUGGACUCGCGGCCUAUCAGCUUGUUGGUGAGGUAAUGGCUCACCAAGGCGACGACGGGUAGCCGGCCUGAGAGGGUGACCGGCCACACUGGGACUGAGACACGGCCCAGACUCCUACGGGAGGCAGCAGUGGGGAAUAUUGCACAAUGGGCGAAAGCCUGAUGCAGCAACGCCGCGUGAGGGAUGACGGCCUUCGGGUUGUAAACCUCUUUUAGCAGGGAAGAAGCGAAAGUGACGGUACCUGCAGAAAAAGCACCGGCUAACUACGUGCCAGCAGCCGCGGUAAUACGUAGGGUGCAAGCGUUGUCCGGAAUUAUUGGGCGUAAAGAGCUCGUAGGCGGUUUGUCGCGUCUGCUGUGAAAUCCCGAGGCUCAACCUCGGGUCUGCAGUGGGUACGGGCAGACUAGAGUGCGGUAGGGGAGAUUGGAAUUCCUGGUGUAGCGGUGGAAUGCGCAGAUAUCAGGAGGAACACCGAUGGCGAAGGCAGAUCUCUGGGCCGUAACUGACGCUGAGGAGCGAAAGGGUGGGGAGCAAACAGGCUUAGAUACCCUGGUAGUCCACCCCGUAAACGUUGGGAACUAGAUGUGGGGACCAUUCCACGGUCUCCGUGUCGCAGCUAACGCAUUAAGUUCCCCGCCUGGGGAGUACGGCCGCAAGGCUAAAACUCAAAGGAAUUGACGGGGGCCCGCACAAGCGGCGGAGCAUGCGGAUUAAUUCGAUGCAACGCGAAGAACCUUACCAAGGCUUGACAUAUACGAGAACGCACUAGAGAUAGUGAACUCUUUGGACACUCGUAUACAGGUGGUGCAUGGUUGUCGUCAGCUCGUGUCGUGAGAUGUUGGGUUAAGUCCCGCAACGAGCGCAACCCUCGUUCUAUGUUGCCAGCACGUAAUGGUGGGAACUCAUGGGAUACUGCCGGGGUCAACUCGGAGGAAGGUGGGGACGACGUCAAAUCAUCAUGCCCCUUAUGUCUUGGGCUUCACGCAUGCUACAAUGGCCGAUACAAAGGGCUGCGAUACCGCAAGGUGGAGCGAAUCCCAAAAAGUCGGUCCCAGUUCGGAUUGAGGUCUGCAACUCGACCUCAUGAAGUCGGAGUCGCUAGUAAUCGCAGAUCAGCAACGCUGCGGUGAAUACGUUCCCGGGCCUUGCACACACCGCCCGUCA